UCCCGACCUUCUAGUGUUUUGUUUGGAAGACGUACCACUAGAUCACUAGGCCAUCACCACCCACAGCUUCUGUGUACUUGUGUAAUGGAGUCUCUAUGUUUCAAAGCUUAAAGCUGAUAGAUCAGUUGAGUUGUGAUGAGACGACGAGAUGCAGACGUCCUGAAAGACUUCAGAAUUCAGGAUUCAGAGAAACAAAAUGUAGAUUUUAGAAAAUAGAUUCAUAUUCAAACAGUCUGAAAAUAUCUUAAAUCAUGUUUUCCGUCCAUACAAAGCCUGAAAUGUUUCAGAACACUGCAACAAUUUAGUGUCUGCUAAUAAUGGGAAAUAAAUUAUGAGCAAUUAAUUUGUACCAGAAAUAAAAUGAAUAACUUAUAAUGUUAAAAAGGCAUUCAAGAGACAUUGUAUAAUAUAUAUAUUUUUUAAAUUCAGACGGAUUUAUCGAACAGGAGCCAAAUCUGUGUGAAAAACACGUAUCCCGUGGAGCCGACCCUGUUCGUCCUGAGUCCUCUGCAGCCCGAGGGCGCCGGGGGGACGUCUCCGCUUGGCCCUGAGGUUUGUCUGGCGACUGAUUUCCGUCCGAAGGAAGGCGAGAUGGUUCUGAAUGUGUGUGGGGGGGCACUCAAUCAGGGCACCAGCGCCGCCGUCGUGUCCCCGAGUCAUAAAACGUACUUCUACUUUGGAUUCACCAACCAGACCAUCCACUCCUGUGAGCUGCACGACACGCCGUCCAACAACGACAACAUUGACAUGUGUGACGACUUUCAUCCAGAGAACGCCAGGCUGAACUUCAUCCUGCUGGUGAUGAACGGCGUGAGGGUGGUGUUCACCAAAGCGCUGGCCUUCAGCACCAUCCUCACCAUCCGAGCCGUGCUCUUCUGACACCGAGGUAUCGACCGCCAUCUUUCAAAAGCAAGCCGAGCUUCUCCUAAUUGUGCAGCAGCUUCAUGUUCUCUCACUGUCGUGGUGCACAAACGUGAUUCACGGCUGGUUUUUGUCCUUUUUAUUUCCCGGUGCGGAUCUGUGUAACAUGAGUGAAGACAUGUUGUCAUAUUAUCUGCAUGUAACAUAUAUAAAAUAUCUUCUGUGUUUUCUAUAAUACCAGUUUGGUAUCAGCUUUUUCAUGAUUGAGUUUGAUGUAAGUUGUUUCCUGAUUGAUUGACUUUGAUGUCAACAUGAUGCAAUACAAGACUUUAUUUUAAUAAACUUUGCGUCCUUAUAAACACGUCAGCAGUGGUUUGUUUAUUUGAAACUCUUUAGAC
rnacentral:lncRNA from 1 species